rnacentral:sRNA from 1 species
UGAGGAAUAUCUCUCAAAAGCUUAGGUCAUGAUGAUGCCUAUAAUUAAAAAACAAACCAAACUAGAUUCAGUUAGUGUACAGUCGAGGAUGUUAUCAUUUCAAUUAUAUCCUGUAUAAUUUCCAGUAAACACAACCCGUGCUGUAAGAAAAUCCCUGCUUACUCUGGGCUGAACACUAGGGGUUACUAGGAACGUAUCAAGUUUGUUUUGUUAAAUAAGUGAAAACAAAAAGAAGUCAAUUUGCAUGGAGAGAAUGGUUUCCAGAAACAGAAUACAAAAUACUGUUGGGAAAUGUCAGGAAAACUGACAUUAGCGAAUGUAAACAGCACACACAAAAAAAAACUGCUGACAAAUUGUAUUUAAAAACAUUAUCACUCAACACCUAUGGCUGAUCUACGAUUUAAAAGUACGCCUUCAAUCCUGGGAAUAACUGAAGCAUCCUGCUGAAUGCUGGGA